rnacentral:rRNA from 1 species
GAUGAACGCUGGCGGCGUGCCUAAUACAUGCAAGUCGAGCGAACGGACGAGAAGUUUGCUUCUCUGAUGUUAGCGGCGGACGGGUGAGUAACACGUGGAUAACCUACCUAUAAGACUGGGAUAACUUCGGGAAACCGUAGCUAAUACCGGAUAAUAUUUUGAACCGCAUGGUUCAAAAGUGAAAGACGGUCUUGCUGUCACUUAUAGAUGGAUCCGCGCUGCAUUAGCUAGUUGGUAAGGUGACGGCUUACCAAGGCAACGAUGCAUAGCCGACCUGAGAGGGUGAUCGGCCACACUGGAACUGAGACACGGUCCAGACUCCUACGGGAGGCAGCAGUAGGGAAUCUUCCGCAAUGGGCGAAAGCCUGACGGAGCAACGCCGCGUGAGUGAUGAAGGUCUUCGGAUCGUAAAACUCUGUUAUUAGGGAAGAACAUAUGUGUAAGUAACUGUGCACAUCUUGACGGUACCUAAUCAGAAAGCCACGGCUAACUACGUG